rnacentral:rRNA from 1 species
GAUGAACGCUGGCGGCGUGCCUAAUACAUGCAAGUCGAGCGAACAGACGAGGAGCUUGCUCCUCUGACGUUAGCGGCGGACGGGUGAGUAACACGUGGAUAACCUACCUAUAAGACUGGGAUAACUUCGGGAAACCGGAGCUAAUACCGGAUAAUAUAUUGAACCGCAUGGUUCAAUAGUGAAAGACGGUUUUGCUGUCACUUAUAGAUGGAUCCGCGCCGCAUUAGCUAGUUGGUAAGGUAACGGCUUACCAAGGCAACGAUGCGUAGCCGACCUGAGAGGGUGAUCGGCCACACUGGAAAUGAGACACGGUCCAGACUCCUACGGGAGGCAGCAGGAGGGAAUCUUCCGCAAUGGGCGAAAGCCUGACGGAGCAACGCCGCGUGAGUGAUGAAGGUCUUCGGAUCGUAAAACUCUGUUAUUAGGGAAGAACAAAUGUGUAAGUAACUAUGCACGUCUUGACGGUACCUAAUCAGAAAGCCACGGCUAACUAC